rnacentral:rRNA from 1 species
GACAGAGGUGCCGAGCGUUAGGCGGAAUCACUGGGCUUAAAGCGUGUGUAGGCGGAUGGGUAAGUACCUUGUGAAAUCCCACGGCUCAACCGUGGAACUGCUCGGUAUACUGCUCGUCUUGAGCCAACUAGGGGCGACCGGAACAAACGGUGGAGCGGUGAAAUGCGUAGAUAUCCGGAGGAAUACCAAAGGCGAAGGCAGUGUCCUGGCUGGCAACUGACGCUGAGGCGCGAAAGCUAGGGGAGCGAACAGG